rnacentral:rRNA from 1 species
AACGAACGCUGGCGGCAUGCCUAACACAUGCAAGUCGAACGAGACCUCCGGGUCUAGUGGCGCACGGGUGCGUAACGCGUGGGAAGCUGCCCUUAGGUUCGGAAUAACUCCCCGAAAGGGGUGCUAAUACCGGAUAAUUUCUUCGGACCAAAGAUUUAUCGCCUUUGGAUGGGCCCGCGUUGGAUUAGCUAGUUGGUAGGGUAAAAGCCUACCAAGGCGACGAUCCAUAGCUGGUCUGAGAGGAUGAUCAGCCACACUGGGACUGGGACACGGCCGAGACUCCUACGGGAGGCAGCAGUGGGGAAUAUUGGACAAUGGGCGAAAGCCUGAUCCAGCAAUGCCGCGUGAGUGAUGAAGGCCUUAGGGUUGUAAAGCUCUUUUACCCGGGAUGAUAAUGACAGUACCGGGAGAAUAAGCUCCGGCUAACUCCGUG